rnacentral:rRNA from 1 species
GACGACGCUGGGCGGCGUGGAUUAGGCAUGCAAGUCGAACGGUAGGAUACCUUCGGGUAUCUGAGAGUGGCGAACGGGUGAGUAACACGUAGGUGAUCUACCCUCAAGAUUGGGACAACCCAGGGAAACUUGGGCUAAUACCGGAUGAAAGCAGCAGUGAUGUUGUUUGAAAGGUGGCGUAAGCUGCCGUUUGGGGAUGAGCCUGCGCUCUAUUAGUUAGUUGGCGGGGUAAAGGCCCACCAAGGCGAUGAUAGAUAGGCGGCCUUAACGGGUGGUCGCCCACACUGGGAUUGAGAUACGGCCCAGACUCCUACGGGAGGCAGCAGUCGAGAAUAGUCUACAAUGGCCGAAAGGCUGAUAGUGCGACGCCGCGUGAACGAAGAAGCCCUUCGGGGUGUAAAGUUCUUUUAUAUGUGAGCAGUGCUUUCUAUGUGAACAGCAUGGGGAGAGAGAUAUUAGCAUAUGAAUAAGCAACGGCUAACUCCGUG